rnacentral:rRNA from 1 species
CAGCAGCCGCGGUAAUACGUAGGGUGCGAGCGUUAAUCGGAUUUACUGGGCGUAAAGCGUGCGCAGGCGGCCCGUUAAGACAGGUGUGAAAUCCCUGGGCUCAACCUAGGAAUUGCGCUUGUGACUGGCGGGCUCGAGUACGGUAGAGGGGGGUGGAAUUCCUGGUGUAGCAGUGAAAUGCGUAGAGAUCAGGAGGAACACCGAUGGCGAAGGCAGCCCCCUGGGCCUGUACUGACGCUCAUGCACGAAAGCGUGGGGAGCAAACAGGAUUAGAUACCCUGGUAGUCCACGCCCUAAACGAUGGGUACUAGCCGUUUGGUGCGCGAUAGCGCUGAGUGGCGAAGCUAACGCGUGAAGUACCCCGCCUGGGGAGUACGGCCGCAAGGUUGAAACUUAAAGGAAUUGGCGG